GAUCCUGGCUCAGGAUGAACGCUAGCUACAGGCUUAACACAUGCAAGUCGAGGGGCAUCAGUUUGGUUUGCUUGCAAACCAAAGCUGGCGACCGGCGCACGGGUGAGUAACACGUAUCCAACCUGCCUCAUACUCGGGGAUAGCCUUUCGAAAGAAAGAUUAAUAUCCGAUAGCAUAUAUUUCCCGCAUGGGUUUUAUAUUAAAGAAAUUCGGUAUGGAGAGUGGGGAUGUCCGUUCCUAAUUUUAGGUUUUGGUUCGGGGG
rnacentral:rRNA from 1 species